rnacentral:misc_RNA from 1 species
UGAGGAAGCAGGCUGGAAGGAA